rnacentral:rRNA from 1 species
UACAGAGACUGCAAGCGUUAUUCGGAUUCACUGGGCGUAAAGCGUGCGCAGGCGGUCUGCUAAGAGAGAUGUGAAAUCCCCGGGCUUAACCUGGGAACUGCGUUUCUAACUGGCAGGCUAGAGUGUGGCAGAGGGGGGUGGAAUUCCACGUGUAGCAGUGAAAUGCGUAGAGAUGUGGAGGAACACCGAUGGCGAAGGCAGCCCCCUGGGCUAACACUGACGCUCAUGCACGAAAGCGUGGGGAGCAAACAGG